ensembl:lncRNA
CAACACCACAGACUUGACUAACAGCAUAUUAAUUGUGGAACGAGGGUAACAAUAAAUGUGAUUUUUUUUACCUGCUUUCAUUUGAGAGUAAGGGUCGGUAACUGUGAGGAAUUACAAUGUAACGAUUUAUCAUUGAUAUACAUAACUACUUAUGUAAGGAAAUGUAGACUCUAUCCACCUCAAGGAAGGGGACCUGGUGAGGGUAGGAAAAUGGUUGCUGGUAAACCUGGAGUCUAUCCCAGGGAGCAUCGGGCACAAGGCGGGGUACACCCUGGACAGGGUGCCAAUCCAUCACAGGCCACACAGACACAUUCACACACCCAUUCAUACACUAUGGACACUUUAGACAUGCCAAUCAGCCUACCAUGCAUGUCUUUGGACUGGGGAAGGAAACCGGAGUUCCCGGAGGAAACCCCCGCAGCAUGGGGAGGACAUGCAAACUCCACACACACAGGGCCAUGGUGGGAAUCGAACCCCCGACCCUGGAGGUGUGAGGCGAACGUGCUAACUACUAAGCCACCAUGCGCCCUUUAAAGAAAUAUAUAUUUCAAUGAAAAAUUUGAAUCAUAUUUUAUAAAAGAUAAAUAACAACUUAAGUCCUCCCAAAGAGAUUUAACCUGAUUGUAAUGGUAGAGUAAAUAAAUGAUGCAAAGGUUCUUCCUCGACUUUGCAGUUCCCUUGAUUCCCCUUCAGGGCGUUUGUGCAAAAUCACGCACGUGAUGACGUUUUCUGAUUAUAUGCUUUAUCAUCGCGUGUGUUCGUUUAUAGCGUUAUUAUUUUUCUUUUCAUCAGCAUAAGGUAAAUUUCACAUUGUUUGUUAGAUAGUUUGCAAGUAAAUACAUGCUUUAAAAGUAUAUAAUGUAUUGUUGUCAGAGGUUCUAUUGCUCAGUCUUUAUUCUAAUAUACUUCCGCUUUUGAAUUCUCGAUUCUGAUUGGCUGACAGACGUUCUGAGGUGUGCAGUUAUUUAUUUCUCAGUAAAUGCACAGCUAAAGUAGUUCCAGUCAGGUCUUG